CCUUAAUUCUCAAAGACAUCUCUCUCUUUCUCUCUAGUCUAUUAUUCCCACCAUCAAAUCAAAUUCAAAUUCAAAUUCAAAUCAAAUCAUCUGGGCCAGUAGCUUCUGCUUCAAUACUCAAAAGGUCGUGCUAAAAUCAGAAACAACGGACAGAUGUUUUUUGUACACUGAAACGCUCGAAUUUAAUUUAAGGAAGCGCGUAAUCGGAGAGACCCAGAAACUACAAAAAGUUUAGAAAAGGGUGC